rnacentral:rRNA from 1 species
GCAGCCGCGGUAAUACGUAGGUCCCGAGCGUUGUCCGGAUUUAUUGGGCGUAAAGCGAGCGCAGGCGGUUCUUUAAGUCUGAAGUUAAAGGCAGUGGCUUAACCAUUGUACGCUUUGGAAACUGGAGGACUUGAGUGCAGAAGGGGAGAGUGGAAUUCCAUGUGUAGCGGUGAAAUGCGUAGAUAUAUGGAGGAACACCGGUGGCGAAAGCGGCUCUCUGGUCUGUAACUGACGCUGAGGCUCGAAAGCGUGGGGAGCAAAC